rnacentral:rRNA from 1 species
CGAAGCAUUUUAGAUGAAGUUUUCGGAUGGAUUCUAGAUGACUGAGUGGCGGACGGGUGAGUAACACGUGGAUAACCUGCCUCACACUGGGGGACAACAGUUAGAAAUGACUGCUAAUACCGCAUAAGCGCACAGUACCGCAUGGUACGGUGUGAAAAACUCCGGUGGUGUGAGAUGGAUCCGCGUCUGAUUAGCCAGUUGGCGGGGUAACGGCCCACCAAAGCGACGAUCAGUAGCCGACCUGAGAGGGUGACCGGCCACAUUGGGACUGAGACACGGCCCAAACUCCUACGGGAGGCAGCAGUGGGGAAUAUUGCACAAUGGGCGAAAGCCUGAUGCAGCGACGCCGCGUGAGUGAAGAAGUAUUUCGGUAUGUAAAGCUCUAUCAGCAGGGAAGAAAAUGACGGUACCUGACUAAGAAGCCCCGGCUAACUACGUGCCAGCAGCCGCGGUAAUACGUAGGGGGCAAGCGUUAUCCGGAUUUACUGGGUGUAAAGGGAGCGUAGACGGCAUGGCAAGUCUGAAGUGAAAACCCAGGGCUCAACCCUGGGACUGCUUUGGAAACUGUCAAGCUAGAGUGCAGGAGAGGUAAGUGGAAUUCCUAGUGUAGCGGUGAAAUGCGUAGAUAUUAGGAGGAACACCAGUGGCGAAGGCGGCUUACUGGACUGUAACUGACGUUGAGGCUCGAAAGCGUGGGGAGCAAACAGGAUUAGAUACCCUGGUAGUCCACGCCGUAAACGAUGAGUGCUAGGUGUUGGGGGGCAAAGCCCUUCGGUGCCGUCGCAAACGCAAUAAGCAUU